UCUAGAGGCAGAAUAUGAGCUCUAUGUAGUGACUAUGAGUCUCAGAUAGUAAGAGUAGAUUUGAGCAAUUGUAGGACAUUUUCAUUUCCUGCAAAAACCUGAAAUCGGGGCAGAAUUAUCUGGUUACUAGACAGUACAGGAAAGCCCAGCUCCCUUUGACUUUGGCCAUCCACCCCGACACUCAGUACACCUGUGCUGGGCCUGAACUUUGACCAGAGGGAAUUUAAGACAUUGAGGAUUGAUGUGUGGUAAAAUCAGGAUUUGCAGUUUCUCAGUUAUUUCAUUUUGGAAAGGAAGUCAAGGCACUAAGGGAAUGCCAGGCUGUGAGGCACUAAUCCUGGCUGGACUACAGUAUGUUUCAAGGAGGCUGGGAAAUUCCUCUCUAGGAAAGGAAUGCUGUUGGAAGAUGUUGAUAGCAAGCAUGCUUUGUUUGUUCUAGGUGGCUUGUGAGACCAUCUUAAAAACAAAUUGUGGAGAAAAGUAACACGUGUGUGCUGCUGAGUCUCCGCACAGUGAUAGCAGAGUAACCCCACUGACCUCUGUGUACCAUACUGAAAGGAGAGCAGAACUCAGUAUAAUCCUUUCCCGAAGUUCAUAGAAAAGCAUGGCAUGUCAGAUUUGGUCUGAAAAGACUGAUUUCCAGGCUAUAUUGUGAGGUAAACCAAGCUAUAUUUCAAAUCGACCCUGUCCACCAAACAGAGGACACAGAAACAUGGAAUUAAUGGAACAAGUUGGGUUGGCAGGCACUGCUGGAGGUUACGUAGUGCAGCCCCUGCACCAAGAAGGGCCAGCUUUGAGGCUCAAGCAGGUUGCUGAAGGCCCAGGUAGGUAUUGGGAAUGCCUCCAGAUGGAGACUCCACCACCUCUCUGGGCAACUGCUUGCCCACUCCUGUAGGGAGGAUGUUCAGCUGAACAAGUCAGCUCACCAUUUACACAGCUGCACUGAAAUACUGCAUUUUCCUGAACUACACUAUGCUUGUUUAAGACAAGGAAAAA